rnacentral:lncRNA from 1 species
CCUGUUCUGUGCGGCUGGUAGAUAUAAAGAAGGAAAAUAUAUCAUAUUCUUUGGAUGAUAACCAACAGACCCAAGCAAGGACUAACGAAAAUCAGGGCUCUGAGAUAAUAGAGCUCAGCAGUGAUGAGGAUUCUAAUGAUGAAAUCAACUUGUCAGAAGCCUCUACCUUAAUCCUCUCCAAGCCAGAGACUGCACAUUCCAGACAACCUCCCACACCAAGAACAUACAGAAGAGGAGAUACUUCUGAUACCAGCAGCUCAAGCCUCGAUAGAAGACGGAAAAGGACAGGACAUACCAUAGCUGUUGGAAACAAUCCUGUUCUGGGGAGAGACGGAGGAAGAAGAAGGAAAAAGAGAGAGAGACAUGGAAACUACUUAAUACGGAACAUCAAAAUCCCAAUGAAUGCAAGCUGGAAAACAGCUUUCGGAACAAGACAUAGCAAUCCUUCUUCACAACAAGGCAGAAAACGAGGUCCGAGAAUUCACAAAGAUGUAAAUGCGGAUUUUAGCAGUAAUGAGCUUCUGGUGACAUGUGGCAAAGUUGUGGGGACUCUGUAUAAGGAGAAAUUAAAUCAAGGCAUCCAUGUGAAGAGCAUACAGAGUACGGAAGGAAAGUGGUUCACUCCCCUGGAAUUUGAAAUUGAAGGAGGCUACGAGAAAUGCAAGAACUGGAGGCAAAGCAUCCGCUGCAGUGGGUGGCCCCUGAAAGAACUGAUAAAGAGAGGAGAACUACAAGACCCACCAAGGAAGACAGAAAUGAAGGAAACACCACCAAACUCACAACAAAGAAAGAGAAAGAGAAAGCUGAAAAAUCUAAAAGCAUGUAAAGUGUGCGGCCAACGACGGAGAGUGCGCCCUUGUGCUACUUGUAGAAAAUGCUACCAUAAGAAUUGCCACAUCCCACCUGUGGAAGUUCAGAGUGGCCCGUGGCAUUGUGCCUUCUGCAAGACAAGGAAUCAAUUAAGGUGCCAAGAAAACCAAGCAUGUCAUAAGGAAUCUGAGGUCUUGAAGAGGAAGAUGUCACCCGAGGAACAGCUGAAAUGUGAGCUGCUUCUAUUGACUAUCUAUUGCUGUCCAAAAAGUGGCUUUUUUAUCCGAAAACCAAAGAAAAGCAGGUUCAAAAAUCUUGGAGUCAUAGUGGGAAACAAAUUUGAGAAGACUUUCAAAAGCGUUUUUUCAAUCGAGGAUACAAGCAAACAACUUCAACCGUCUCAGCACACCGUUUUGUUAACCUAGUCCUUUCUGUUCCCUCCACUACCCAUCCCUCCAGCAGCCAACAGCAUUACACUCAGAGAACCUACCUUUCUUCGUAGACCGCCUGCCACACUCUGUCUCUAACUUUCUAUAUCGUCCUUCCUGUUUGAUCAUCUUUCUAAAGAGAACUUAGGGCAUACAAUGUACAUCACUGGUGAACUCUCAGGUGCUGAGCCCACUGAGAGGAUGACUCUGGAGACUGCUCCCUCCCCCAUUUCAAACCCAAGUCUCAUAAAAUGCCCUCCGAGGUAUCUUGUCUAGGGGUGGCCUUGCCUGUCUAACUCUGACAGGGAGGAGGAACCAGCAAAACCAGUCUAAGAAUGAAAAUACUAUGUCCUUGAAAACAGCUAGAAGGUGACCAUUGCUAACAGAUAUUAUUACAAUUGUUUAUCCUGGGAUGUAAAAUGAGAAAGAGAAACCAGAAAUUCAGCUAUAAGAGCUCAGUCAUGGAGAGAAAGCUCAACUGGAAACUGUGAUGCUGACUGUCGAGUUUCCACAAACAGUUCCUGCUGCCUAUUGUGAGCAUCCAGUUUGAUGAUAUGCUCUCUCUCUCUCUCUCUCUCUCUCUCUCUCUCUCUCUCUCUCUCUCUCUCAAUAUGUAGUCUUUUAUCUGGAAGCCCCACAAGAGAUUAACUCUUCUCUGACCUGAACUCUACUGGAAACUCCAGCUGACUGUCUCCGCAGGACUUCCUCUGGAUUCCAGUCCAUUCCCCCUAGAUAUAUGAAGCACAUGAUUAAAAUCAUCUUUUGUUGGUUUUUUUUUUCUAUUUACUCUUUUACUUUAGCUUGUUAUAUACUUAAUGAACUCGAUCACUUGAAACUGAAAGUGGCUAACAUUGUCUGCUCUUAGGACUGUGCAGAACAGAAUAGAGUGGGUGAGCGAUCACAAGAUGCUCUUGCUAUUUGAAGGUGGUGAGGCCUAUAAAAAGUGUGUGUGUGAGGCCAGACAAUGGACACCAAGACAGACACCUGGCCUCUGCUCAGACUACUAGAAUAAAGGAACAAAUGCCUUCUAUGUCUAAAACUGCAGUUUACAGGAUGAACAUGUAAAGAUUUUGGCUCUCUGUGCAUUUUUUUCUUCUGCAUUUUAGCCAGACAGACUCUCACUAAAUGCAAAACUUUCUCUAACUCUCAAACUCUGUGAGACCUCAGGAAAAAUAAAGUAUAAAAAUCCAAGCUGUAAGGAGGAUUGCCUGAGACUUGUAACAAUAACCAAAGGCUUGUUAGUCGGACAUCAUGUACAGACAGUAAAUCUCAGUUUGUUACAUCGUGCCAUGUAUGUAAUUUGGAUUCAACUCUUGCUUUGAAAGUUAUUAAAAUUCCUAAAAAUACUAAUCUGCUUAUAGUAGCACGUGUAAUGACUGGCUUAAAAAAUAAAAAUGCACGUUUAAUCAAG